GUGGAAACUUUGACAGCACCAUUCUAAAAAUUGGAACAAUACAAAGCACACUAGCAUGGUCCCUGCAUAAGGAAGACGUGCAAAUCCAUAAAGUGUUCCAUAUUUAA